rnacentral:lncRNA from 1 species
AGUGGGUAAAGAACCAACCUCUCGAGUAUGAGGGUGUGGGUUCGAUUCCAGGUCAGGCAAGUACCAAUGCAACUUUUCUAAGUUUGUAUGUACUUUCUAAGUAUUUCUUAGACACCAAUGGCUGAUAAAAAGGUGAAGGAAAACAUCUUGAGGAAACCUGGACUAUAAAGUCUGAAAUCAGCAACCCGCAUUGAGCAAGCGUGGUGAUUAAUGCUCAAUCCUUCUCCGUGUGAG